AGCGAACGCUGGCGGCAGGCUUAACACAUGCAAGUCGAGCGGGCAUCCUUGUGGUGUCAGCGGCAGACGGGUGAGUAACGCGUGGGAACGUGCCCUUCGGUUCGGAAUAACUCAGGGAAACUUGAGCUAAUACCGGAUACGUGCGAGAGCAGAAAGGUUUAUCUGCCGAAGGAUCGGCCCGCGUCUGAUUAGCUAGUUGGUGAGGUUAUGGCUCGCCAAGGCGACGAUCAGUAGCUGGUCUGAGAGGAUGAUCAGCCACACUGGGACUGAGACACGGCCCAGACUCCUACGGGAGGCAGCAGUGGGGAAUAUUGGACAAUGGGGGCAACCCUGAUCCAGCCAUGCCGCGUGAGUGAUGACGGCCUUAGGGUUGUAAAGCUCUUUUCUUCGGGACGAUAAUGACGGUACCGGAGGAAUAAGCCCCGGCUAACUUCGUG
rnacentral:rRNA from 1 species